GAUGAACGCUAGCGGCAUGCUUUACACAUGCAAGUCGAACGGUAACAGGUCUUCGGAUGCUGACGAGUGGCGAACGGGUGAGUAAUGUAUCGGAACGUGCCCAGUAGUGGGGGAUAACUACUCGAAAGAGUGGCUAAUACCGCAUAUUCUGUGAGCAGGAAAGCAGGGGAUCGCAAGACCUUGCGCUGAUUGAGCGGCCGAUAUCAGAUUAGCUAGUUGGUGAGGUAAAGGCUCACCAAGGCGACGAUCUGUAGCGGGUCUGAGAGGAUGAUCCGCCACACUGGAACUGAGACACGGUCCAGACUCCUACGGGAAGCAGCAGUGGGGAAUUUUGGACAAUGGGCGCAAGCCUGAUCCAGCCAUGCCGCGUGAGUGAAG
rnacentral:rRNA from 1 species